CNGCAAGAGCUCAAAUUUGAAAGCUGGCCCCUUCGGGGUCCGCGUUGUAAUUUGCAGAGGAUGCUUCGGGUGCGGCCCCUGUCUAAGUGCCCUGGAACGGGCCGUCAGAGAGGGUGAGAAUCCCGUCUUGGGCAGGGUGCCCGUGCCCGUGUGAAGCUCCUUCGACGAGUCGAGUUGUUUGGGAAUGCAGCUCUAAAUGGGUGGUANNUUUCAUCUAAAGCUAAAUACCGGCCGGAGACCGAUAGCGCACUAGUAGAGUGAUCGAAAGAUGAAAAGCACUUUGAAAAGAGAGUUAAACAGCACGUGAAAUUGUUGAAAGGGAAGCGCUUGCGACCAGAGUCGGCCCCGGGGUUCAGCCAGCAUUCGUGCUGGUGUACUUCCCCGGGGGCGGGCCAGCGUCGGUUUGGGCGGCCGGUCAAAGGCCCCAGGAAUGUAUCGCCCUCCGGGGUUGUCUUAUAGCCUGGGGUGCAAUGCGGCCAGCCCGGACCGAGGAACGCGCUUCGGCACGGACGCUGGCGUAAUCGUCGCAAACGACCCGUCUUGAAACACGGACCAAGGAGUCUAACAUCUACGCGAGUGUUCGGGAGUCAAACCCGUACGCGCAGUGAAAGCGAAGGGAGGUGGGAGCCCCCCCGGGGCGCACCAUCGACCGAUCCUGAUGUCUUCGGAUGGAUUUGAGUAAGAGCGUAGCUGUGGGGACCCGAAAGAUGGUGAACUAUGCCUGAAUAGGGCGAAGCCAGAGGAACUCUGGUGGAGGCUCGCAGCGGUUCUGACGUGCAAAUCGAUCGUCAAAUUUGGGUAUAGGGGCGAAAGACUNNNC
rnacentral:rRNA from 1 species